rnacentral:rRNA from 1 species
AUUGAACGCUGGCGGCAGGCCUAACACAUGCAAGUCGAACGAGUGGCGGAAGGGUGAGUAAUGUCUGGGAAACUGCCCGAGGGAGGGGGAUAACUAAUGGAAACGGUAGCUAAUACCGCAUAACAGAGGAUGUGCCCAGAUGGGAUUAGCUAGUAGGGGGGGUAACGGCUCACCUAGGCGACGAUCCCUAGCUGGUCUGAGAGGAUGACCAACCACACUGGAACUGAGACACGUGCCAGACUCCGACUGGAGGCAGCAGUGGGGAAUAGUGCACAUUGGGCGCAAGCCUGAUACAGCCAUGCCGCGUGUAUGAAGAAGGCCUUCGGGUUGUAAAGUACUUUCAGCGAGGAGGCGUUACUCUCAGAAGAAGCACCGGCUAACUCCGUGCCAGCAGCCGCGGUAAUAC